UACAGAGGUCCCGAGCGUUGUUCGGAUUCAUUGGGCGUAAAGGGUGCGUAGGCGGCGCGGUAAGUCGGGUGUGAAAUCUCGGAGCUUAACUCCGAAACUGCAUUCGAUACUGCCGUGCUUGAGGACUGGAGAGGAGACUGGGAUUUACGGUGUAGCGGUGAAAUGCGUAGAUAUCGUAAGGAAGACCAGUGGCGAAGGCGGGUCUCUGGACAGUUCCUGACGCUGAGGCACGAAGGCCAGGGGAGCAAACGGG
rnacentral:rRNA from 1 species